rnacentral:tRNA from 1 species
GCUCCCGUGGUGGAACUGGCAGACACGCAUGGCUUAGGACCAUGUCCUGAAAUAGGGUAGAGGUUCAAAUCCUCUCGGGAGCA